rnacentral:rRNA from 1 species
AUUGAACGCUGGCGGCAUGAUUUACACAUGCAAGUCGAACGGUAACAGGCCGCAAGGUGCUGACGAGUGGCGAACGGGUGAGUAAUGCAUCGGAACGUGCCCAGUCGUGGGGGAUAACUACUCGAAAGAGUAGCCAAUACCGCAUACGAUCUAUGGAUGAAAGCGGGGGACCGUAAGGCCUCGCGCGAUUGGAGCGGCCGAUGUCAGAUUAGGUAGUUGGUGGGGUAAAGGCUCACCAAGCCAACGAUCUGUAGCUGGUCUGAGAGGACGACCAGCCACACUGGGACUGAGACACGGCCCAGACUCCUACGGGAGGCAGCAGUGGGGAAUUUUGGACAAUGGGCGCAAGCCUGAUCCAGCAAUGCCGCGUGCAGGAAGAAGGCCUUCGGGUUGUAAACUGCUUUUGUACGGAACGAAACGGCUCUGGUUAAUACCCGGGGCUAAUGACGGUACCGUAAGAAUAUGCACCGGCUAACUACGUG